CAAUAGCGUAUAUUAAAGUUGUUGCAGUUAAAAAGCUCGUAGUUGAAUUUCUGGCGGGCGCGCCGGUCUUCCAAGUGCUGUACUGGGCGCAGUCCGCCAUCCUUGUGGAGAGGGCUCGCAUUGAGUUGCGUGUCGGAUCUGCAUCAUUUACUGUGAAAAAAUUAGAGUGUUUAAAGCAGGCUGUCGCUUGAAUACAUUAGCAUGGAAUAAUAAGAUAGGACUUCGGUCUAUUUUGUUGGUUGCGAACCGAGGUAAUGAUUAAUAGGGAUAGUUGGGGGUAUUCAUAUUUAAUUGUCAGAGGUGAAAUUCUUGGAUUUAUGAAAGAUGAACAACUGCGAAAGCAUUUACCAAGGAUGUUUUCAUUAA
rnacentral:rRNA from 1 species